AACGAACGCUGGCGGCGUGGCUAAGGCAUGCAAGUCGAACGGAUCCGUCGCAAGACGGAUUAGUGGCGAACGGGUGAGGAAUACAUGGAUAACGUACCCUUGACACGGGGAUAGCGGCGGGGAAACCCUUUGCGAAAGUGCCGGUAAUACCCGAUGACCCCGCGGGAUCGCAUGAUCCUGCGGGCAAAUGCUCAGGCGGUCUUGGAGCGGUCCAUGUCCUAUCAGCUAGUUGGCGGGGUAACGGCCCACCAAGGCGUCGACGGGUAGCGGGCGUGAGAGCGUGACCCGCCACAUCGGAACUGAGACACUGUCCGGACACCUACGGGUGGCUGCAGCAACGAAUAUUCCGCAAUGGACGCAAGUCUGACGGAGCGACGCCGCGUGCAGGACGAAGUCCCUCGGGAUGUAAACUGCUUUUGUGGGUGAGGAACACUGACCAACCCAAGAAUAAGCACCGGCUAACUCCGUGCCAGCCGCCGCAGUAAC
rnacentral:rRNA from 1 species